rnacentral:rRNA from 1 species
AGUGAACGCUGGCGGUAGGCCUAACACAUGCAAGUCGAACGGCAGCACAGUAAGAGCUUGCUCUUACGGGUGGCGAGUGGCGGACGGGUGAGGAAUACAUCGGAAUCUACUUUUUCGUGGGGGAUAACGUAGGGAAACUUACGCUAAUACCGCAUACGACCUACGGGUGAAAGCAGGGGAUCUUCGGACCUUGCGCGAUUGUAUGAGCCGAUGUCGGAUUAGCUAGUUGGCGGGGUAAAGGCCCACCAAGGCGACGAUCCGUAGCUGGUCUGAGAGGAUGGUCAGCCACACUGGAACUGGAGCACGGUCCAGACUCCUACGGGGAGCAGCAGUGGGGAAUAUUGGACAAUGGGCGGAAACCUGAUCCAACCAUACCGCGUGGGUGGAGAAGGCCUUCGGGUUGUAAAGCCCUUUUGUUGGGAAAGAAAAGCAGCAGGUUAAUACCCCGCUGUUCUGACGGUACCCAAAGAAUAAGCACCGGCUAACUUCGUG